rnacentral:rRNA from 1 species
UACAGAGGUCCCAAGCGUUGUUCGGAUUCACUGGGCGUAAAGGGUGCGUAGGCGGUUUGACAAGUCUGAUGUGAAAUCCCGCAGCUUAACUGCGGAACUGCAUUGGAAACUGUUUGACUAGAGGAAUGGAGGGGAGACUGGAAUACUUGGUGUAGCAGUGAAAUGCGUAGAUAUCAAGUGGAACACCAGUGGCGAAGGCGAGUCUCUGGACAUUUCCUGACGCUGAGGCACGAAAGCGUGGGGAGCAAACAGG